rnacentral:rRNA from 1 species
AUACGUAGGGGGCGAGCGUUGUCCGGAAUGACUGGGCGUAAAGGGCGUGUAGGCGGCCGAAUAAGUCUGGAGUGAAAGUCCUGAUUUCAAGUUGGGAAUUGCUUUGGAGACUGUUUGGCUUGAGUGCGGAAGAGGUAAGUGGAAUUCCCAGUGUAGCGGUGAAAUGCGUAGAGAUUGGGAGGAACACCAGUGGCGAAGGCGACUUACUGGGCCGUAACUGACGCUGAGGCGCGAAAGCGUGGGGAGCGAACAGGAUUAGAUACCCUGGUAGUCCACGCGGUAAACGAUGAAUGCUAGGUGUUGCGGGUAUCGACCCCUGCAGUGCCGGAGUAAACACAAUAAGCAUUCCGCCUGGGGAGUACGGCCGCAAGGUUGAAACUCAAAGGAAUUGACGGGG